CCAGCUAAUUUUCUUUCUUUCAUUUUCUUUUCUUCUUUUUCCCUGUAACUAUUGUUGAAGUGUCAAAUGGGCAUCUCUCUCAUCUCCCAGAUUGAUGGCAUCAUCGAGGACUUCUCACAUAAACAAGAUAAACGAAAGGCUUCCACGGACAGGGCCACACUCCCAGCUGUCAUCUCCAGGGCC
rnacentral:lncRNA from 1 species